rnacentral:rRNA from 1 species
UGGGGAAUAUUGCACAAUGGGGGAAACCCUGAUGCAGCGACGCCGCGUGAGCGAAGAAGGAUUUCGAUUCGUAAAGCUCUGUCCUAUGGGAAGAUAAUGACGGUACCAUAGGAGGAAGCCCCGGCUAACUACGUGCCAGCAGCCGCGGUAAUACGUAGGGGGCGAGCGUUGUCCGGAAUCACUGGGCGUAAAGGGUUCGCAGGCGGUUUAGAAAGUCAGAUGUGAAAGGCGAGGGCUUAACCCUCGUAAGCAUUUGAAACUGAUAAACUUGAGUAGUGGAGAGGUAAGUGGAAUUCCUAGUGUAGCGGUGAAAUGCGUAGAUAUUAGGAGGAAUACCGGUGGCGAAGGCGACUUACUGGCCACAAACUGACGCUGAGGAACGAAAGCGUGGGUAGCAAACAGG